rnacentral:rRNA from 1 species
GAUGAACGCUAGCGGCAGGCCUAACACAUGCAAGUCGAACGGUAUCAUCCUUUCGGGGGUGAGAGAGUGGCGAACUGGUGAGUAACACGUAGGUUAUCUACCCUCAAGACGGGGACAACCCAGGGAAACUUGGGCUAAUACCGGAUGUGAGCAACUUUUAGUUGUUUGAAAGGUGGCGUAAGCUGUCGCUUGGGGAUGAGCCUGCGUCCUAUUAGUUAGUUGGUGAGGUAACGGCUCACCUAGGCAAUGAUAGGUAGGCGGCCUUAACGGGUGGUCGCCCACACUGGGAUUGAGAUACGGCCCAGACUCCUACGGGAGGCAGCAGUCGAGAAUAGUCUACAAUGGUCGGAAGACUGAUAGUGCGACGCCGCGUGAACGAUGAAUCCCUUCGGGGUGUAAAGUUCUUUUAUAUGUGAGCAGUGCUUCUUAUAUUAACAGUAUGGGGAGAGAGAUAUUAGCAUAUGAAUAAGCAACGGCUAACUCCGUGCCAGCAGCCGCGGUAA